UCGAACCGCUGUUGCUCAGAGCUCAAACUCUUGAGCGAGCUCUUAACCAACUGAGCUACUCGGCCCCUGCACUCACAGUUUUGAAGAUGGUUGUAACAAAAACCUCUCCACAGUCUUGUCGUACUUGAGGUUCUGGGAGACUUGGCCUAUGGUAUGUGCUUUCAACUGAACCAGUUCUGUCCUUGUGGGCAGAAAGAAUAACUUCAGGAUGGAGGCCCAAAGUCAUUGUUCCCAAGCUUUGGUCCACUGCUAAUUACCAAUCCAAGAGGAAAUCAGCUGCCAUGUUGUGAACCUUCCUAUGGAGAAGACUGAGGCCUCUGCAAGUAACCAGCGGAGAAAUAAGGCCACUGCCAACAGCCGCACAAGUGAGCAAGGACCGAGGUCCUUCAGCCCCAGUCGAGCCUUCAGAUGACUGCAGUCCCAGCUUAUGUAGCACCUGCAACCGCAUGAGAGGUGGUAAGCCAGAACCUCCCAGCUGAGUCACUCCUGGACUCCUGACCCUUAGAAACUGUGAGGUGGACUUCAGUGUUUCUCGGCUCAUCUUCAGGCAUGGCAAGAAAUGGAGAAUGUGUGCCAUGGAAUACAACACUGAAGAUGUCAAUCAAUUGAAACGAACUUGCUUGGGCCAAGGGCACAAUGACUGGAGAUGUGCUGCAAAUUACACCAGCAUUUACUCUGCACUAAGGAAACCAACUUUUGAAGAUAGAUAAGGUGUGUGUAUGUGUAGAAAUAUGUUAAUAAAAUCCUAAGCUAUAGAAAAAGAAUAAAGAUUAGGGAAACAUUUUAAAGUUCUUAUGUGACAUCACCCCUGGAUCUCAAAUGUAGCAGAAGAAAAAUAAUUUAAGACACCGUCAUACAUUAGAGCUGAAUUGUGACAACCUUCUAAUAUUGAUAAUACCGAUGCCUCUCUCAUAACAUGUCAAAAGGGCAGACAGGGCGAGAGUCAGACAGCAACAGUGUAGUUGGGAGCAACUUUUGAAAUUGAACCAUUAAGUUCAGACCCUCCUACUCUACCGAAAGCUUCUUUCAGGUAGGCCUGCGUCUUUUUCAUCUUGGUCUUCUCGGCAUGUAUUGCUUAUA